rnacentral:tRNA from 1 species
GCGUGCUUGGUGCAGUGGUAGCAUGCCUCUUUCCGGCUUACGUAAGCGGUUCGGAGGUGGUCACAGGUUCGACCCCUGUAGUACGCU